rnacentral:rRNA from 1 species
GACGAACGCUGGCGGCGUGCUUAACACAUGCAAGUCGAACGGAAAGGCCCUGCUUUUGUGGGGUGCUCGAGUGGCGAACGGGUGAGUAACACGUGAGUAACCUGCCCUUGACUUUGGGAUAACUUCAGGAAACUGGGGCUAAUACCGGAUAGGAGCUCCUGCUGCAUGGUGGGGGUUGGAAAGUUUCGGCGGUUGGGGAUGGACUCGCGGCUUAUCAGCUUGUUGGUGGGGUAGUGGCUUACCAAGGCUUUGACGGGUAGCCGGCCUGAGAGGGUGACCGGCCACAUUGGGACUGAGAUACGGCCCAGACUCCUACGGGAGGCAGCAGUGGGGAAUAUUGCACAAUGGGCGGAAGCCUGAUGCAGCAACGCCGCGUGCGGGAUGACGGCCUUCGGGUUGUAAACCGCUUUCGCCUGUGACGAAGCGUGAGCGACGGUAAUGGGUAAAGAAGCACCGGCUAACUACGUG